UUUCUGAGAAUUCGAGUUUUGGUUGCUUAAAAUUGGACAUCAAUCGAGGGUAAAGGAAGAGGAGUUGUUGCUGAGGAAUAUUUUGAGGAAAGGAUACGGCCCCGAGCUGAAGCGGACGGUAAUUCGAAGGGAGGAGAGGUUGAAGACGAGCGCGUGAAGGACACGCGAGGCGCGUGGGAAGGCUGCGAGUGGAGGUGCGACUGUGCGCGGAUCGGCGCGUGAGAAAGCAAACCUCCGACCUUGCAUUGGCGCGUGAGGGCGCGUGAGAAGGUCUAAUAGGAAGGAAUUGUGUUGAAGUACUAUUAAACGUACAUUCAAGGAGGAAAAAGGGGUUCGAAACCAAAUUUAGAUGAUGCAGGCCAACCGAGGACGAGACCAGCGGACUGAAGACUACUGGGAAUCCAUGUCUGUGUCUGUUUUGUAUAAUUAUGUUUUCGCUGUCGAGAAUUUACUUCGGUUGUUUUAAGUUUAAAUAGCACCGGUUUUAAACGUUUUACUGGAUGUUUUUUUUAAACAUUUUGAAAUUAUGGU